rnacentral:rRNA from 1 species
UGCAAUUGAAGAAGUGUACUAAGGUAGCACGGUGAGUAGCCCUUUAAUUGAGGGAUUGUAUGAAUGGUUGGACACGGAGAGACUUUUUCCAAUAUAGUAAGUAGAAGUUUCUUUUCAAGUGAAAAAGCUUGAGUUUUUGUAAAAGACGAGAAGACCCUGUCGAACUUGAUUAAAACCUAAUAUAUUUAGUUUUGCUACCUUAUCUAUUUUGUUUGGUUAAGUUAGUUUUUACUGUUAUGAUUUAUGUCUUAGUUAAGAGGUAUUGUUGCGAUAAAGGUUUUAUUAACCUUUGGAAUGUAGGUGUGGAAAAUUUAUUUUAGUUUUGAAUUUUUGUUGGGGCAACAGAAGUCUAUUAAACGAUAUCUUGUUGAAUAAGGACCCUGUAUGAUAGUUUAAAAGCAAAAGUUACCGCAGGGAUAACAGCGUAAUUUUUUUCUGUAAUUGUAUCGAGAAAAGAGUUUGCGACCUCGUUUUUGGGAUUUAUA